UACGUAGGGGGCAAGCGUUGUCCGGAUUUAUUGGGCGUAAAGAGCGUGUAGGCGGUCAGGUAGGUCCGUUGUGAAAACUCGAGGCUCAACCUCGAGACGCCGAUGGAAACCAUCUGACUAGAGUCCGGAAGAGGAGAGUGGAAUUCCUGGUGUAGCGGUGAAAUGCGCAGAUAUCAGGAAGAACACCCGGUGGCUAAGGCGGCGUCUCUAGUACGGUACUGACGCUGAGACGCGAAGCGUGGGAGCGAACAGG
rnacentral:rRNA from 1 species